rnacentral:tRNA from 1 species
GGAGAGGUCGCCUAGUGGCCUAUGGCGCCGGCUUGGAAAGCCGGUUUAUCCGCAAGGGUAUCGUGGGUUCAAAUCCCACCCUCUCCG